AAAAUAUAAAAUAACUAAAAUCAAAAAAAUCAAGAAAUCAAAAUGAAAGAAAUACUAAUUCUUCCAUCGUCAGUUUCAUCCACCAGAACUAGAAUAAUCGUUGUUGACGCCACUACCGAAACGUCGUCGGCGUUGAUCCAUGCCUAAACGCUGCCGUUAAUUUGCUGGGCAUGCUCAUCCACUCACAAGCAACCAAUAGCAGAUAAAUAUUUACUGUUUCUCUCAGAUUAACAAAGAAGGCAUCGACGGGUCAUAUGUACAAGAACUAUCAGAAAGAUUGAAAACUUUGGGGCAUUUCUUGUCCAUGGAAGAACAAAGCCUCAAUUUCUGUUUGGAUUGCAAGAACAAAUCUGUUUGGACUACAAGAACAAGGCCAUGUAUAGUCGACGACCAUGGACAACGAAAGGCCAUGGAUAGUUGACAGCCUUAAACUUUUUAUUCUUCUUAUUGAUGUGUUUGUUCUUGUACUACAUUAUUUUCCUUCUGUUUACUGUUUUAGCUUGAGUUUCAGUUUCGACCCAUCUAUCUUUCUAUAUAAAGUUUCAGUCUUUAUAGAAUGGAAGAUUGUUAACGAAAGUUGAG
rnacentral:lncRNA from 1 species